UAUUGAAAAUUUCAUCCAUUUGUAUUAUUAAAAGCUGACAUAGUUGACAAAAUAACUAGAUAGUGACACGUGGCACGCCACGUGUAUUUCAUGCUAACGUACAAGACCAGUUUUUAAUAGUAAAAAUGGAUAGAAUUUUUAAGA
rfam:Gossypium raimondii Chr03_contig_231, whole genome shotgun sequence.